rnacentral:rRNA from 1 species
ACUCCUACGGGAGGCAGCAGUGGGGAAUAUUGCACAAUGGGGGAAACCCUGAUGCAGCCAUGCCGCGUGUGUGAAGAAGGCCUUCGGGUUGUAAAGCACUUUCAGUAGGGAGGAAGGUAGUGUAGUUAACACCUGCACUAUUUGACGUUACCUACAGAAGAAGCACCGGCUAACUCCGUGCCAGCCAGCGCGGUAAUACGGAGGGUGCAGCGUUAAUCGGAAUUACUGGGCGUAAAGCGCAUGCAGGCGGCCUUGUUAAGUCAGAUGUGAAAGCCCGGGCUAAGCC